rnacentral:rRNA from 1 species
UACAGAGGUCCCGAGCGUUGUUCGGAUUCAUUGGGCGUAAAGCGCACGUAGGCGGCUUUGUAAGUUAGAGGUGAAAGCCCAGGGCUUAACCCUGGAAUUGCCUUUAAGACUGCAUCGCUAGAAUCGUGGAGAGGUGAGUGGAAUUCCGAGUGUAGAGGUGAAAUUCGUAGAUAUUCGGAAGAACACCAGUGGCGAAGGCGACUCACUGGACACGUAUUGACGCUGAGGUGCGAAAGCGUGGGGAGCAAACAGG